GACGAACGCUGGCGGCGUGCCUAAUACAUGCAAGUUGAGCGCUGAAGGUUGGUACUUGUACCAACUGGAUGAGCAGCGAACGGGUGAGUAACGCGUGGGGAAUCUGCCUUUGAGCGGGGGACAACAUUUGGAAACGAAUGCUAAUACCGCAUAAAAACUUUAAACACAAGUUUUAAGUUUGAAAGAUGCAAUUGCAUCACUCAAAGAUGAUCCCGCGUUGUAUUAGCUAGUUGGUGAGGUAAAGGCUCACCAAGGCGAUGAUACAUAGCCGACCUGAGAGGGUGAUCGGCCACAUUGGGACUGAGACACGGCCCAAACUCCUACGGGAGGCAGCAGUAGGGAAUCUUCGGCAAUGGACGAAAGUCUGACCGAGCAACGCCGCGUGAGUGAAGAAGGGUUUCGGAUCGUAAAACUCUGUUGGUAGAGAAGAACGUUGGUGAGAGUGGAAAGCUCGUCAAGUGACGGUAACUACCCAGAAAGGGACGGCUAACUACGUG
rnacentral:rRNA from 1 species